UAGACCGACGCCAAGAUCCCUGACUCCCAGGCAGCCCACGAGAAGACCAUCACCUCUCUGCUUCCUGCUAUGUCCGGUGUCAACCUGAUCUACGGAUCC
rnacentral:ncRNA from 1 species